UACGGAGGGUGCGAGCGUUGUCCGGAAUCACUGGGCGUAAAGGGUGCGUAGGCGGGUCUUUAAGUCAGGGGUGAAAUCCUGGAGCUCAACUCCAGAACUGCCUUUGAUACUGAGGAUCUUGAGUUCGGGAGAGGUGAGUGGAACUGCGAGUGUAGAGGUGAAAUUCGUAGAUAUUCGCAAGAACACCAGUGGCGAAGGCGGCCUGCUGGGCAGUAGCUGACGCUGAGGCGCGACAGCGUGGGGAGCAAACAGG
rnacentral:rRNA from 1 species